CCAACCCAAGAUGAAUAUGGGGCGGAUAUCCAUAUCGGAGAAGGUAUGAAUAUUGAUCGACUUAACCCAUACCCGACCUAGCGGCACCUCUAUAAUCUAUUCUUUUAGACCUCCAAUGGGGCCAUCAUUGGUGCAUGAUUGAUGGAGAUAUGUUGUAAUCAGGAUCAAUCUUUUUCGAGACUAGCCAUGGGCUUAUCAUACCCAUAGUCAGAGAGACUAGGAGAGUGAGAGUGGA
rnacentral:lncRNA from 1 species